rnacentral:rRNA from 1 species
GUCCCCCUUUGCGGGGAGGGCUCACGUUUUCACACAAAACUUGAUACUGUAUAGAAUGUUUAUUUUUGCGGUCACACGCAAUCAAUACAACUUUCAACAACGGAUCUCUUGGCUCUCGCAUCGAUGAAGAACGCAGCGAAAUGCGAUACGUAAUGUGAAUUGCAGAAUUCAGUGAAUCNUCGAAUCUUUGAACGCNCCUUGCGCCCCUUGGCAUUCCGAGGGGCACACCCGUUUGAGUNUCGUGAAAUUCUCAAAACCCUUUUCUUUAAUCUUUUUUGGUUAGGAAAAGGACUUUUGGACUUGGAGGUNUAAUGCUUGCUUUUGNCUUUAAAAGUGAGCUCCNNNCAAAUAAAUUAGUGGGGUCUGCUUUGCUGAUUCUUAACGUGAUAAGAUGUUUUUACGUUUUGGAUUUGGCACUGUCUCUUGGAUGUCUGCUUCUAACUGUCUCAAGGACAAAAUGAUGGUGUUUCGGUCACUGCCAUUUAUGUUGGCGGGAGGCUGGACCCACAAAAAAAAAACCUUGACCUCAAAUCGGGUGAGACUACCCGCUGAACUUAAGCAUAUCAAUAAGCGGAGGAAAAGAAACUAACAAGGNNNCCCCUAGUAACUGCGAGUGAAGCGGGAAAAGCUCAAAU